rnacentral:rRNA from 1 species
CCUACGGGAGGCAGCAGUGGGGAAUAUUGCACAAUGGGCGAAACCCUGAUGCAGCGACGCCGCGUGAGUGAAGAAGGUGUUCGGCAUGUAAAGCUCUAUCAGCAGGGACGAAAAUGACGGCACCUGAUUAAGAAGCACCGGCUAACUACGGGCCAGCAGCCGCGGUAAUACGCCGGGGGCAAGCGUUAUCCGGAGUGACUGGGGGUAAAGGGGGCGUAGUCGGCAGCACAAGUCUGGAGUGAAAUGCCGGGGCGUAACCCCGGAACUGCUUUUGAAACUGUGCAGCUAGAGUGCAGGAGAGGUAAGCGGAAUUCCUAGUGUAGCGGUGAAAUGCGUAGAUAUUAGGAGGAACACCAGUGGCGAAGGCGGCUUACUGGACUGUAACUGACGUUGAGGCACGAAAGCGUGGGGAGCAAACAGGAUUAGAUACCCCAGUAGUC